AUUGAACGCUGGCGGCAUGCCUUACACAUGCAAGUCGAACGGCAGCAUGGAGAGCUUGCUCUCUGAUGGCGAGUGGCGAACGGGUGAGUAAAGCAUCGGAACGUACCGUGUAGUGGGGGAUAACGUAGCGAAAGUUACGCUAAUACCGCAUACGCACUGAGGUGGAAAGCAGGGGAUCGUAAGACCUUGCGCUAUACGAGCGGCCGAUGUCAGAUUAGCUAGUUGGUAGGGUAAAGGCCUUCCAAGGCGACGAUCUGUAGCGGGUCUGAGAGGAUGAUCCGCCACACUGGGACUGAGACAUGGCCCAGACUCCUACGGGAGGCAGCAGUGGGGAAUUUUGGACAAUGGGGGCAACCCUGAUCCAGCCAUGCCGCGUGAGUAAAGAAGGCCUUCGGGUUGUAAAGCUCUUUCGGCCGGGAAGAAAUCGCACAGGCUAAUACCCUGUGUGGAUGACGGUACCGGCAUAAGAAGCACCGGCUAACUACGUGCCAGCAGCCGCAGUAA
rnacentral:rRNA from 1 species